rnacentral:rRNA from 1 species
UACAGAGGUCCCGAGCGUUGUUCGGAUUUAUUGGGCGUAAAGGGUGCGUAGGCGGCGGAGUAAGUUGGGUGUGAAAUCCCGGGGCUUAACCUCGGAACUGCAUUCAAUACUGCUUCGCUCGAGUACUGGAGAGGAGGCUGGAAUUUACGGUGUAGCAGUGAAAUGCGUAGAUAUCGUAAGGAAGGCCGGUGGCGAAAGCGAGCCUCUGGACAGUUACUGACGCUGAUGCACGAAGGCCAGGGGAGCAAACGGG